AAUGAAUUGCCUGAUAAAAGGGUUACCUUGAUAGGGUAAAUAAUGCAAUCAGUAUUGCAUUCAUUA